GACGAACGCUGGCGGCGUGCUUAACACAUGCAAGUCGAACGGAGUGGCGAACGGGUGAGUAACACGUGGGUGAUCUGCCUUGCACUUGGGGAUAAGCUUGGGAAACUGGGUCUAAUACCGGAUAGUGCAAGAUGUGCGCGCGGCUUAUGAGCUUGUUGGUGGGGUAAUGGCCUACCAAGGGGUCGGCGGGUAGCCGGCCUGUGAGGGUGUACGGCCACAUUGGGCCUGCGGGACGUCCCAGACGCCUACGUGGGGCAGCAGUGGGAAAUAUUACACAAUGAGCGGAAGCCUGAUGCAGCGACGCCGCGUGGGGGAUGAACGCCUUCGGGUGAUAAACUCCUUUCGACAGGGACGCGGUACCUGUAUAAGAAGCACCGGCUAACUACGUGCCAGCAGCCGCGGUAAUUC
rnacentral:rRNA from 1 species